UCUGUUUUGCGUUCUUGUCUGCAAGGCGGAGAUUGCACUGUCUUCCUCUGAGUUGUUAUAAAUAAAACUAAACUCUUACCUAUUUUGUUCACUCCUGUUCUUGUCUGAUCACCUGUUCCUCUGUUUUAACCUUCAAAAUUUCUAAACUUCUUACCUGUUUUCCCCCCUUCUCAUUCUUGUUACUGUUAGCAAAUUCCUUCUCUUUUCAAUUUUCUGUUUCUGGAUUUUUGAUUUUUGUGCCGUUUGGCUUCUUGGGUUUUAGCUGUUUUCGGGUUUCU
rnacentral:lncRNA from 1 species